rnacentral:sRNA from 1 species
UAGAGGUGGCGGAGACAGGAAAGGAUCCAAGGCAGUGGAGGCGGGAGGCGGGAAUGGAGCCA